rnacentral:lncRNA from 1 species
AUUUCCCCAACAGAAUUUUUUUUCCUUCUGUACAGCAAGGUGACCCAGUUACACAUACAUGCAUACAUUCUUUUUUCUCACAUUACCAUGCUCCAUCAUUAAGUGACUAGACAUAGGUCCCAGUGCUACACAGCAGGAUCUCAUUGCUAAUCCUUCAAAGUUCUAUUCAUGUAGAGGUAAAUUUGCAAAAGAGGGAGUAACAUUUAUUCUUUUGGAAGUGUGUAGGCAUAGUGUGGCCUGGCCUAAUGGACAAAGGAUUCCUGCAGCAAGCAGUUUGCAACCAACAACCAUACCCUCCCCUUCCCCUCACUUAAGGAUGAAAGAAGCCUGAAUUCCACCUGGAGGGAAGAGGCUCCUUUGGCUUUUCUGUCCGCUAGCUUUCUGAAUAAAAGUGUCAUUCCUUGCCCCAACAACUCUCAAUGCAUUGGCCUGUCAGGGGGCAAAAGGUAUGAGCUUGGACUCAGUAACACAAAGGGUGUGAUGCUGUCCUCACCACCCUCCUCCACAGUGAGACCAAGGCCCCUAAAACAGAGCUACCUUACUGAGCUGACCAUUCUUCUUGGUGCUGAACAGUUUUGUGUGCUGAGGCACAGCUAGGGCAAGCAAUACCAAAACAUGUGGGUUUGGAGCAGAGAAAGCUUUAUUGCAGCAUCAUACAAGGAGAACGGGGGCCCCUACACCCCAACCCUGAACUCCCCAAAGAGUUUCAGCAAAGUGUUUUCAGGGGCCAGGGGAGAGAGGACCAUAGUUAGUUGUUGCAAACUUCUUGGUGCAGGAAUUGUUUUAGUAGGUCAAGUCAAGAUGAUCCUGUAAACCUCCAACAAAAGACAUGCUGUCUUCUGUCCUGCAACUUUUUAAAUCUCUUCAGGAAUAGAAAAAUGCUUUACCUGGAAUGGCAGGGUCUUGAGAAUGGGCUGCCCUGUACACUGCAGGUUAUAGGCAACAUUCUUAACUGGAAGCAAAAGCAAUAGAAUACAAAGGUCAGCAGGGAUGUCAUGCCAGGUUCCCUUCAGAGGAGGCACCAGCUGCAUCGGGUCUGCCGCCUGCCUGCUAAUGAGGGUAAAUUGGUUAUGAAGGAAGGCAGUAUAGAACUCAAUUGUAUGAAACGCUUUUGUUAAUAAAAUGCUCAGCUUCUUCCACUGCUUCAGAAAAUCUCAUGUAAUGCUUCUGUGUAGAUGGUUUAUUUUUUUUAACAGUGAGAUAAUAGAUUGAUUUAUUUGUAUUUCCACAAUAUGUUAUUUUUUCUACUGUGUAGGUUAUUUUUGAAUGAAAAUCUAUAAUAAAAAGAACACUCUAGGUGGAGGCACUUGCAAUAUAGUUUGAAGUAUCCCCAGGCAUUUCAGAAUGAAGUGGAUAAAUAUAAUUAGAUGUUUCCAAAAGCCGGCCCUCAUUUCUAGAAUGGAAACAAAGUUCCAGAGUUACAAUUCAAGAAUUCCAUAUUGUUUUCCUUGUUUCUAAUUCUAGAAAGUCAUGAUCAGAAACGCAGGGUGAAAACCGGCCUAGCCCCUCUCUUAUUCCUUUCUUCAAGCAGCUUUUUGGGGUUUUUUUUGUUGUUGUUUUUGCCACUAAAAUUUUCACAUGACAUUAUAACAGAACCACUUUCUUCAUUUUAUGUAUUUAAGAUUCUAUGUUGAAAAAUUAUUACCAUGGAACAAACCUUACAAUUUUAGUUUCAUAGAAGUAUAAGAAUGGAAAGCUCAUUUUAAGGAAAAAUCCAUUGAUGCCUUUUUCCUACUCCUUGCCACUUAUUACAUAGUUGGCAAAUCCCAAAUUCUAGCCACCCCUCCAAACCACAUUUCUUUGUGAGCAUCUGCAUAUAGACAUAUGUAAUUAAAUGGUUUUUCCUCAGGCAGUCUGCUUGUAUCUAAUUUGCAGACUUCCAAUCACUGAAACUAAGAGGGUAGAGGAAAAGUUUUUCCCCAACAAUACCAAGAGCUAAAAUUCUCUCUUCCCUCGUCUUUCUGUCCUCUCCCCGUACUUGGCCAAACUCCAGCUCACAAGACAUCGAUUAUCAUUCCUCCCCUCUUACCUCACCCAGGCACCUUUGUGCUGCUGAAGAAAACCAGGCAUCCGCCCAAUGAGCCUACCAUUUUAUCUGCAUUUUCUUUCUUCAGAUGACGACUUAAAAUCUCCUCUCUCUGUGAACGUCUCAUGCUGUUUCUCCCCGCUGAAUUGUACCAAUCUUAUUUCCCAUGACAAGCUUCUAGAAAGAUUUGUUUCUUUUCUCUUUGACAGUCUCCACCACUUCCAGGAUGUCUUUUCCUUCCCCCAUUCCUUUGAAUGGACACCAGAGUCCCUGAUGAUUCCAACUGAUAAAUAAAGGUGCCACCUUUCCAGUCUUUGUCUAGCUGAAUUUCUCAUCCCUCUUGGCAUUCAUUACAAUGAACCGGCCUGACACUCUCUCCUUUUGGCUAGGCUGGGAUUUUAUUUUCUUUUUUAAAAGGAUUUAACAAUAAUAUAAUUUUGUUCUCUCUUUUGAAAUUCAUGUUUUGGGCAAAACCAUGGUAUGUGAAAAUUCCUGGGCCAGGGAUUGAACCUGGGCCACAGCUGCAACUCAAGCCGAUGCAGUGACAAUGGUGGACCCUUCACCUGCUGGACCACAAGGAAACUCCUAGGCUGGGCUUCUGAUAUUUUUUAAUUUUAUUCUGAAAUGUACACACAGAGAUAAAAGCUGUAAUUAUGUAAAUCAUGAAAUCAUGUAGCUUUAGGGAAAUCAGAACGAUCUGGCUUUGGCUUUUCAAAUCUUGUAUUAAGGCUUUCCCUAGGACCAUCAUUAAAGAAAAUAUGCAGAGAGAGCAAAGACCUGGAAAAGUUUAUUAGAGAACAUUCAACUUCCUACUUAACCUCUGCAAAAGUAAAAAUGUUUCUAUGUAUUUGACUCUAAAUGAACUCCAUAGAAAAUACAGGAGUUCCCACUGUGGUGUAGUGGGUAGAGGAAUCUGAAUGAUGCAACUGUGGCUCCAGUUGGAGCCCUAAAGAGAAAAAAAAGGCAAAAACCUAUACAGAAUUAUCAAGGCAAUUGACAGUGAUGGUUAGAAGGAUGCCAUGGCUGGAACAAGCUUUAUCCUGGAAAGUGUGGUGAGUAGGGUGAGUAGGUCAGUGGGGUCCAGGAAGAGAGAUGGGAUUCUUUGCUCAGCGCUGAAUGUUGAGAGAGCAGAAGUGAACAUAAAGCACAUGAUGUUUGUUGGCUGCAGCAUUACUGUGUGUGCUCCCGUGUGUGUUGUGUGCACGUGCCACAUGCAUGCAUGAACACAUGCAAGCAAGGGAGGGACCCUAUAACCAUCAUCUGACCCAAGAGGGAAAAUGUGAUGCAGGAAUUAACACAAAGGUUUCAUGCAGGAGAAAAAUCACCUAAAUCAUCUUAUACAUUCAUCUAUCACCUUUUCAAUUAUUAAGAAAUAUUUUCUGAGAACUUCCAAUAUUUCAGAACUUGGAAUAUUCUCAGGAUUAAACUGUAACUAAUACUAUGCCUUUCUCUUCAUAGAACACUAUUGUAUUGCUUAACAAAGCAAUAAAAAUUACCUGCAAAAAUAAAAUUUCCAAUAUUAAAAAGAAAAAACACAUGAUUAUAUAUUGUAUAAGUAUAAAAUAUCACUACUCGUGUACAACAAAAAGUGGCACUUCAUAAAAUCAAAGUGACAUUUAAAACACUGUCAAUUCUGGAGCUCCUGUUGAGGCUCAGCAAGUUAAGGACCUGGUACUGUCUCUCUGAGGAGGCAAGUUGGAUCCCUGGCCUCACUCAGUGUGUUAAGGUGCCAGCCUUACUAAAAGCUGCAGCAGUUGAGGUUGCAGAUGUGUCUCAGAACUGGCCUUGCAGUGGAUGUGGCAGCUGCAGCUCUGAUUUGACCCCUAGUCUGGGAACUUCCAUAUGCCACAGGUGGGGCCAUAAAACAAUAUUAUCUAUUCUGGAUCCUCAUAUAUAAUUCUAGAAAGACUGGUUAUUAAAUAAAGUAUUUUACAAAAUUCCAAAUUUUGAAAAGUUGUUCCGCAUGCACUGGGGAGCAAAGCUGCAUUUCCUUUCUUAAGACGUAGGUUUGCUAUUCACUACAUUCUGAAAUAAGUGUACAUACUUCUUACACUUCCCUUCAUCAAUCAUUUUUUUUGAGAAUCAACAGGUUACCAUUUGAAAGGAUCCCUAUUUUGGGCUCCUCAUUUCCUUCUAAAAUGUUUUUUAAUAAUCCAAAACAAAGUAACACAAUCUGAAAGAAUUAUAAUCAUGAAAAAAAAAUUAUAAUCAUGAAAACUAGCAUCUCCCAAUGCAUUAUACACUAUAUACAAAACUGAUAAACUUGAACUUAAAUGUAUUCAUAAAUACAAAGGAAAAAUUAAACAUGCACUUGUCCAUGUAUGAUUAUCAUGCAAUAAUGACACUUUAUAAAAACACGGUAUGCCAUACGCAAGAGUACUUGGAAGGUGCACAAACCUGCUUUUAUAUUUGAUAAUAGAAAAUGAAGUAAUAAGGGUUUUUAUUGUCAGACAUCUCAGUUCCAUAUGAAAAUCACAUAGUCAUUCCUUCGUCAAGGUGAUCAUUCGUCUAGUUUGUUUUACUCCGAGUGUAAAUUGUAAUGCAUUAACUCCUGAGAGUUUCCUAUUGGAAAAGGACUAUUUAUGAAAUUCUUCAUGAUCAAUUAACUUUGCACAUACUGCCAGUCAAGAGACAUCUCCAAAUUGAGAGUAAAUACUUUUGGAGAGGCGCAUCGAGAUGGAGGAGUAAGACGUCAUGCUCAACUUCUCCCACAAACACAUCAAAAAAACACACUGCAUGUAAAAUGAUUCACACAAAACAUCAAUUGAAUGCUGGCAAAAGAAACCUCCAAAAAGGGAAGAAACUCUUGGAGUUCCCGUCGUGGCUCAGUGGUUAAUGAAUCCAACUAGGAACCACGAGGUUGUGGGUUUGAUCCCCAGCCUCACUCAGUGGGUUAAGGAUCCGGCAUUGCUGUAAGCUGUGGUGUAGGUCGCAGAUUCGGCUCAGAUCCAGUGUUGCUGUGGCUCUGGCAUAGGCAGGUGGCUACAGCUCCAAAUAGACCCCUAGCCUGGGAAUGUUCAUAUGCCAGGGGUGCAGCCCUGGGAAAAGGCAAAAAAAAAAAAGACAGAAAAAAAGAAAAAAGAAAAGAAAUAAUCUCUUGACGUAAUUGGGAGAACAAAAGAAAAAGAGAGAGAGAGAGAAAAGGAAUCAGGACAGGUUUAGCAUUCCUGAGAGGGACCUACAAAGGAGAAAAGGAACACAACACACACCCUGGCAAGCCACCUAACUGACCAGGAGAUCAGCUGUGACAAAGCAACCUCAAAGUCACCAAGAAAAGCACAGCAACUGGACUGAGGAGGGCAAAGUAGAGUGAGAGCUGCACAAAUCAUCUGCACCACCGCCCCAGACACCAUAGCCUGAGAGGCUUGGGUGGGGCUGUGGGCUGAGACUUAGGCUCUGGAGGUAAGUCCCGGGGGAUGACUAGGGUUGACAGUGUGGGGACAGCCUAAGGGGCUAAAGAACACUGUGCCAUGUGUGGGGGAGGGGUGUGCUACGGGCUGGAGAGUGGAACACCACAGCAGAGAGAACCCGGGAGAAGGUCUGGGUCCGCCAGAGAACCCAGGAGCCACUGUUGGGGAGGGCAAGAGGAGGAGGGGCGGACUGCCAUAGGAAUCUCCCUGCACAUCUGUCUGCGGGCUUUCAGAGGGUGGGGAGCCACUGGUGCAUGCUGUGGGUGGCGAGAAGCCACCUGUUUGAGCUACAGGAGCCUGGGCACUUCUUGUGCAGGCUAUGGAUGGCCGGGCACCUUUGUGUGGGCCAAGAGCAGUGGGGGGCUAAGUGCAGUGUGGUGCUUCUUGUGUGAUCUACAGGUGUCAGGGAAAGACCAUGGUGGUCUUCUCAGAGGCCAGAGGGAGGCGUGGCCUGCCACCACUGGGGGCCUGUGAGUGGGCUCCACCUGUGGCCCCAGUCACCUUAGGUGUUGGCAAAAAAAAAAAAAAAAAAAAAGAGGGCACUGUAACCAAGCAUCAAACAUUAUUUCUUUCAACCCCCGGGCACAAACCCACCCUGCAGCUGACGCUGCCAAACUCUUGGCAACACCCAGAUGCUUGAUCACUGUCCCUUCCCAAGACCCUACAACUAGGUGGGCUCAGCAGGAUGGGGUGAUUCUUGCAUGGUCUGCAAGUGGUGAGGGGAAACCACCACAGUUACCUCUGACUCCAGAGGUGAGCAUGGCCCACAGCCACUGGGGAUCCCUGAACAAGAACCACUUGCAGCCCCAAUCACCUCAGAGGGCACCACACAGGAGGACAUUGUGACGGAACACCACCUAUUGUUGCUCUCA